rnacentral:rRNA from 1 species
UACGUAGGUGGCAAGCGUUGUCCGGAUUUACUGGGCGUAAAGAGCGCGCAGGCGGUCGUGCAAGUCGCGUGUGAAAGCCCCCGGCUCAACUGGGGAGGGUCACGCGAUACUGCUCGACUCGAAGGCAGGAGAGGGAAGUGGAAUUCCCGGUGUAGUGGUGAAAUGCGUAGAUAUCGGGAGGAACACCAGUGGCGAAGGCGGCUUCCUGGACAAUUGCUGACGCUCAGGCACGAAAGCGUGGGGAGCAAAAGGG